rnacentral:rRNA from 1 species
UACCCGCGGCCCGAGUGGUGCUCAUUAUUAUUGAGCCUAAAGCGUCCGUAGCUGGCCGUGCAAAUCUCCGGGGAAAUCGGACGGCCCAACUGUCCGAAGACCGGAGACACUGCUCGGCUCGAGAUCGGGAGAGGGAGGAGGUACUCUCGGGGGUAGGGGUAAAAUCCUGUAAUCCUGAGGGGACCACCAGUGGCGAAGGCGUCCUCCUAGAACGAAUCUGACAGUGAGGGACGAAGCCUAGGGCGCAAACGGGAUUAGAUACCCCGGUAGUCUAGGGGUGUAAACGCUGCAGACUUGGUGUUGGGGGGUCCUGCGUGGGCUCCCAGUGCCGGAGCGAAGGUGUUAAGUCUGCCGCUUGGGGAGUACGGUCGCAAGACUGAA